CUGAAGGUAUUGCAUGAUGAGACAUUCCUUAUGGAACCUUUCUGGGCAAGGUCCAACGCUACUGAUAAUACCUUCAG
rnacentral:snoRNA from 1 species